rnacentral:lncRNA from 1 species
GAGGCCACCAAGGUCCCCCCUCCUGCAGAGCCGGGGUUUCUCUUGGGGCAGAAGCAGCAGAUUGGUGUGUUUGUGAAGGAGGAGCUGAGGGAGAGCCAGGGACCUUCUGGGGUUUGUACUUACUCUUCACUGUUGGUUUUCUGAGGAUGGGGUAGCAGGGGAAUUUGGCCCGUAUAGGCUUGAUGAGGCUUCGAUACCUCGGGCGCAGGAUAUAUUGGACCACAGGAGCUGGUACUGGGAAGGCUGGAGGGUACCAAUACAGGUAGGGGACUGGGUUUAUGCUGCAAGAGAAACAGGACAGACAUUUCAGGGAAGGAUUCAGUGUGGACUGAUGCAAUUGUUGAGGUACAAGCCCCGUUUGUUAAGAGCAGCAUGGGUGAGAGCACGUGGAACCAGCAGGGCCCAGGAUCUCCAGGCUUCCCAGGGAGACAGAGGCUAUUCCAGCUCCAGGUUUCCCUGGAGGGACUGGAGUGUGUGUUGGUGGCAGGAUGCAGAGCUUCAUGGGGAUGGUGGCAGGAGUGCCCAGGAGAAGAGGCCCUGAAGAGCAAGCGCUCCUGGAGAAACACUCACUUGAUGUUGUCUGGCAGCAGAGCUCCUCCAGUCCCCCAAUUCUCCUGGGUCCAGUCUUCCUCCUGAGGGGCCCUUGGCGGGGACUCCAGAGGCAGAGUGUGACCUCUCCUGAUCUUCUCAGAGGUCUGGGACUCUGGAGCUGGAAGAGGGUCCCAGCUGGCCUGGAUGGGCGGCAGGGGGAUGUCUGGGAGUGUUACAUCCCUGUCUAAGAGGAUCUGGAAGGAGACAAUGUGCGUGCAGGUCACAUACCCAUAACAUGGAUACGAGGCCCCUUUUCAGCAUGGAAAAAGGCUGCUAAGAUGAUACAAACUCUUUUGAAGAGCAAAGUGUUUCAAAGUUGAGGAAAAAGACUCAAGUCAAGGUUUUACAGAGGCAGCACCUCCAAGGGGAAAAGUAAGAAGCCCCAGAGGGCAGAGGAGCGAGAGCAGCUGAUUGUGCAUCCUCGAUUCAUUUGCAGAGCCUUCAGAACCUUACCCUCUUUGGUGUUUCAAAUUCCUCUUCCUCUUCAUCGCUAUCAAAAACGGAGCCGGAGUCCAUUGUGUCUGUAUAAACUUGUGAGAAUUUCCUCUUCCUGUCGGAUGGUGUUCUGGGGCUCCAGGACAGGUCACUCCCAGCUUUUCCCUCCUGCCGCUCGGUGGUAGAGGGCUCCAGGCUCAGCUGGGCCACUUCCACUUGUCCCCUUCCAGAGUCCCGAGGCUCUUCACUCUCCUCUUGGUGGUUUCUGAAGGGAUCAAAAGCCCCAAAUCGUUAGAUUAAAACAUGGGCAGCUAGCAGAUUGCGUCUCUUCCUUGAUUGAAAUCCCUAAAGGCCCAGAACCAAGCUUCUCCCUCAAGAUCACCAACGGGAUUCACUCACCCGUCUUGCUGCCAGUUGGUCACGGCAGUCCCCGCCAGGUCUUCGUGGGGCUGGUCUUUGUGGUCUUCAUCGUCUGACGUGUCCUUCAGGAGAGAGCCCAGAGAUCAGUUCCUCUGAGCAAGAGAGGGGGCAUCUUCCCUCUGCUCAGCUUCCCACAGGGUGAAUCAAGUUAAGCCCCCUCCCGUCCCCACCAGGGAGAAGUAAAACCCCUUGAUCUAACGGCAAAGAGAUACCCCAGAGAAGAAAGGAUGGUUUUGGCAGCCAUUGUAGCAUUUGCCACAGUUUGUAAAUCCAAGCUGAGUUAACUCUGCCUUGGACAAACAUUAAUUCUUUGUAGCAAUGACCCGAGUUGGUAUUUACCAUGAGUGCAGGUACGUUUGAUAAAAGACGAUUCACUAGUAGUUUUUAGUAUUUUUAGGUCUAAUAAUCUAAUAAACUAUCUAAUAUCUUAAGAAACUACUUAAUA